CUCCUGCUGAGGAAGAACUUGGGGAGGUGGAACAGAUGGCCUGUUGUCUGUUUCUACUUUGGGCAUGACAGAUGAGCAAUGCAUCCAAUUAUAUCACCGGAAGAGGAGAGCCAGCAAAGACAUUUGUGAUCUACGGGGCUGGCUGUGGAGCCACAGAGCAGUACCAGGUGCAUUCAUCCAGUACCUGCUCAGGAGUAGCCAUGCCCACCAGGUGGAGAAUGGGGGACUCAGGUGCUGACAGAAGAGGGCUCUCCAGAUCCUGCGUUUCAUUCUUCCAAAUGGGGAAAAUGUGGUCCUGCCAGUGGGAGCUCCUCCAGGUUGGUUACCUGUCUUCAAAUUGUACAACCGCCUGGUCUACCCUGACCAUCAUUAAAUCAGGUGUGCCAGGUUUGUCGCAAAGGUUGGAAGGGAGGUCACGAAGGAUGACAUAAAACAACCAGCUGAAUCCCAGAAGGAUCAACUCUAGGAGACAGAGGAAAAUGAAGAGAAAUAACACUUCUUAAGCACCUCCUGUGUGCCGGAUGUUUUACAUAAGCUUCCCACGUUAAUUAAAAAAGGAGAAAGCGUGUUCAAGAUGGUCAAGUAAUUUACUGAAUAUUAUACAACUAAUAAGUGGAGGCUUCUGGGCAAGUCGGGGAUUGACAUUUUAUAUCACACAGUUUAGCAAGUACAAUCUAGCAUUUUUUCUUGUCAUCAUUUUCCUGGAUGAGUUUGGUUUCUCAUUGUUAUCUGCGUGAUCACCGAAGACUAGACUUGCUUUUUCCUUCUUUUGUGCAACUCCAAACAGACCUGGACAAAGAUGCAGAUCCAGACAGUCUAAUAAUUUGGCAUCCUUUCAAACUGAUAUUCUCUAAACAUUUAAUGGAGGUCAGGAUAAACCGAUUUUCUGUUAGCAUAUAUUUUAUCCUGAAACAAAUUCACUUAGUAAAUCAUUUCCCCUGGCAGAGACAGAGUCAACGUUGUGAAAACAAUUCUAUGAAAAACGCUUUUCUAUAGUUCUGUUCUCUUUUCAGCUCUCAUUUAUGAUUUCC
rnacentral:lncRNA from 1 species